rnacentral:misc_RNA from 1 species
AAACUGUGUUUCUAAUGGGGCAAACUGUGUUCAUAUAUGCCAUUCUAUAAUUUUGCUUCAUCAUCUGGUCUGGGGCUUUUCUGUUAUUUUAAUCAACUGCCAACAGGAAAAUCUCAAUCUCAUGGUUAGAAUAAAGAACUACUGCCAGAUCUGCAUAGCAAUUUCCGCGAACAUGUUGCAAGUUCUUGGCUAAAAUGGACUGACUUGCACUUCCUGUGAUUUACAUAGGAAAGAAUCUAAAUGAAUGUGACCCCUACGAGACCUUAUGAAAAAGUGGUAUUUUAAAGGCCCUUCGAGGACCACAAUCUCUGGAAAGAAAAACGGACAAGUCUUAAUCAAAAACAAAGUGAAAUUGGGG